rnacentral:rRNA from 1 species
CCUACGGGAGGCUGCAGUGGGGAAUAUUGGACAAUGGGGGGAACCCUGAUCCAGCCAUGCCGCGUGUGUGAAGAAGGCGCUCGGGUUGUAAAGCACUUUCAGUGAGGAAGAACGCCUGGUGGUUAAUACCCAUCAGGAAAGACAUCACUCACAGAAGAAGCACCGGCUAACUCCGUGCCAGCAGCCGCGGUAAUACGGAGGGUGCGAGCGUUAAUCGGAAUUACUGGGCGUAAAGCGCGCGUAGGUGGCUUGAUAAGCCGGUUGUGAAAGCCCCGGGCUCAACCUGGGAACGGCAUCCGGAACUGUCAAGCUAGAGUGCAGGAGAGGAAGGUAGAAUUCCCGGUGUAGCGGUGAAAUGCGUAGAGAUCGGGAGGAAUACCAGUGGCGAAGGCGGCCUUCUGGACUGACACUGACACUGAGGUGCGAAAGCGUGGGUAGCAAACAGGAUUAGAUACCCUGGUAGUC